UGAGUGUGUUUGCAUGGAAUGAUAAAU
rnacentral:piRNA from 1 species